GACGAACGCUGGCGGCGUGCUUUACACAUGCAAGUCGAACGGAAAGGCCUCUUUCGGGGGGUACUCGAGUGGCGAACGGGUGAGUAACACGUGAGUAACCUGCCCUUGACUUUGGGAUAACUUCAGGAAACUGGGGCUAAUACCGGAUAGGAGCUCCUGCUGCAUGGUGGGGGUUGGAAAGUUUCGGCGGUUGGGGAUGGACUCGCGGCUUAUCAGCUUGUUGGUGGGGUAGUGGCUUACCAAGGCUUUGACGGGUAGCCGGCCUGAGAGGGUGACCGGCCACAUUGGGACUGAGAUACGGCCCAGACUCCUACGGGAGGCAGCAGUGGGGAAUAUUGCACAAUGGGUGGAAGCCUGAUGCAGCAACGCCGUGUGCGGGAUGACGGCCUUCGGGUUGUAAACCGCUUUCGCUCAUGACGAAGCUUUGUGUGACGGUAGUGGGUAAAGAAGCACCGGCUAACUACGUG
rnacentral:rRNA from 1 species